rnacentral:rRNA from 1 species
UACAGAGGGGGCAAGCGUUGUUCGGAAUUACUGGGCGUAAAGGGCGCGUAGGCGGCCUUCUAAGUCGAACGUGAAAUCCCCGGGUUCAACCCGGGAACUGCGUCCGAUACUGGAAGGCUUGAAUCCGGGAGAGGGAUGCGGAAUUCCAGGUGUAGCGGUGAAAUGCGUAGAUAUCGGGAGGAACACCGGUGGCGAAGGCGGGUCUCUGGGCCGAUACUGAC